UGUCAAUCAAACGCACCCUUCGUGAUGGUAAUGGGAACUAAAUUUUUCUUCAUUGCACUAAGUUACUAAUCGAUUUAAAUCCAUCAAUGAAUCAGGCGAGCUGGACAACGGAAUAUUUAAAUGGACCAUUAAGUGCUCAAGUGAAAGAUCCAAGUAGCCAAACACGCCUUGCUAUUGACAUACCUAAAUUGAAUUGAGACGACCAAAUCCCUACUCCUCACUUCUCAUGUGGCCUCAACCGACCUCUCCUGCGGCAACACCUCCGGCGGACUAUAUCUCCGACGCAACUGAAUUUGUAGUGUUUUAAAGAUUUUUAAGGAGGAUUUGUAGAAUAAAGUGCCCUUUUCCCAGAAACUUUUUACUUAUGCGUGGUGUCUGAAUCUGAACAAACAAUAAGCUUAUGUGCGAAGUGCAGGAUAUUUUGUGUGAAUAUUAUCCACAACCACAUCCUUUCGGCCUUUAAGCAGGAACACAUGGGCUGAAUAUUGGUGCGGCAAUAGGUCAUUUUUGCAGCUUCCAUUGUCGAAACUUUUGGAUUAAAUUUUGCCAACAAUACCUGUACCUGUCCUUCCUAUGCGUUUCUGUUAAAUUCUCCCAGCAUAGAACUAGAGAGCAGUAAAAAGAAGAAAAGAUUGAAAUCAUCUCCCUAGCAUAGAGAGUGAAAAGAAGAAAGGAUAAAUUCAAUAUGAAAUCACAUUGAAGACUGGAAAAUAUCCAAUGAACUAAAAGGACAUUUGAGGUGGAUUUUCCGUUGGAGCUGUAGACGUGUGAUGACAGGGCUAAAAAGUCUGGAUCCCAGCUUAUGUUUGCGAGACCAGCUUUUUAUCAGAAUCAGCAGAUGUUGCUCCAGAUGAGAAUUCCCUUGUGCGGAAUCCAGUCAAGUAUACCUUCUGAAGAUUACUUUCUCAAGAUAUUGCACAAUCUUCCAGUGCAUCUCUAAAUGGACCAUCUUUGCUCUAGUAUUUCUGAAAAUGCUAUCAAGUUUUGCUUCCUCGAUAGAGCUGUUGCUGUUCAUGUGAAAAUUCCAUGUUAAUUUACAGCCUGUUAAGUAUUUCUCUGCAGGUGAGAUUGUUUCCUCUGCAAAACAACUUCCCAAGUUAUGUAUUUCUCUGUAUUGCUAAUGAUCUCGUAUCAAAUCAAGAAAAUCUUCAGCUGCAAUACAAUGUUAUCAGGGAACCUACUGGUGAGGAACUGUUCAAGCAUAUAUCCAUUCUCAUUGCAAGUAUAUUAGGUGCUUCAUUUACCAACAUACCUCAAGUUAUCACUAUAAAUUUUGAGUCCUUUUCUCUUGAGAAGAGGGAGAAGAGUGUCCAAGAGGCAGCUCGAAGUCUUGGUGAUACCAAGGCAUUUUAGAAGUUCUUCAAAAACAUGAUCUUCACAAUCUGAUACCCGAACAGAUGCCAUAUACUGAUGAAUGCCCACUUCAAUGAAUUAGAAAUCUCCAUCCAUUCCUAAUACAGUAAUACUACAUCCAGUACUGACAUUAGUUCUUCUAGCUCAGAUGAGGUGCAGAUAAUUGUUGAAUAAAAGCUACACUGAGAAUGUUAUGUAAGAUUCUUAGACAUGUAUUGUAAUUGCAAUUUGUAAAAAAACAUCAUCGUAAUUGGUUCAAUAAUCUAAUUCAGUGACAGUUAAUUGAGACAACUGAACUAAACAGCCUGAAUGCACUGGCCUACCUAGAAGAAUGACACUUUCAACAUAUCCCUGAUCAUCACAUAGAUAUACAAUCUGCAAUCGUGAGAACUCUGAAUAUACCAGCCGUCUAGUAGUUCUUACGGUAAUCAAGCAUUAGAAUGGUUAAGCUUAUUCAGUACCGUUGCACUUCUUAUUGACGGAUUUGGAUUUGAUAAUGGUUUGAAAUUUUUAGUUUACAAAUAAAAUACAGUCAAGAAUGGAGGAGUUACAACCCAUGUUUUUAGAGGAUUUCAAAUCCAUUAUGAAUUUAUAGGCUCGGCUAACCUUAACUUAGCAACUGUAACUUUGAGGAGGUGACUGAGCAGAUUUUGCACCAGGCUUCAUGUCUGUCUUUGUACACCUACUAUAAAUAUCAAGGCCUUUCUUGAUUAGGCAAUUCUGGUUGAAAAGGCUUAAUCUAAGCUAAUUCAAUAUGUUUUCCAAUACUAGAAUAUUUUGUUUCUUCAGUCAAUGAGGCACUGCUUUAUUGGUGGCAUGCAUCCUCUCAAAGGAACCUAAAAAUUCUGAUCAUCGUGGAGCAGAAAUAGUAAGAUACAUGUCUAAGAAUGUUAACAGAACUUUUGCAAUAUGCUUGUACAUAACAUAUACUUGAUCAAUGAAAUACACAGAUUCAGGCCCCGUUUGGUAGGGAUUUUUUGUUCCAAAAAAUUGAU